GGGUCGGUACUCAAGCGGUCAACGAGGUCAGACUGUAAAUCUGAUGGCUCAGCCUUCGCAGGUUCGAAUCCUGCCCGGCCCA
rnacentral:tRNA from 1 species